rnacentral:rRNA from 1 species
CCUACGGGAGGCAGCAGUAAGGAAUAUUGGUCAAUGGGCGCAAGCCUGAACCAGCCAUGCCGCGUGCAGGAAGACGGCCCUAUGGGUUGUAAACUGCUUUUGAACAAGAGAAAACCUCGGUACGUGUACCGAGCUGAUAGUAUUGUUAGAAUAAGCAUCGGCUAACUUCGUGCCAGCAGCCGCGGUAAGACGAAGGAUGCAAGCGUUAUCCGGAUUCAUUGGGUUUAAAGGGUGCGUAGGCGGCCUGAUAAGUCAGUGGUGAAAUCUCUCAGCUUAACUGAGAAACUGCCAUUGAUACUGUCGGGCUUGAGUACAGAUGAUGUGGGCGGAAUAUGACAUGUAGUGGUGAAAUACUUAGAUAUGUCAUAGAACACCGAUUGCGAAGGCAGCUCACAAAACUGUAACUGACGCUGAGGCACGAAAGUGCGGGGAUCAAACAGGAUUAGAUACCCUGGUAGUCCGCACCGUAAACGAUGAUUACUCGUUGUUGGCAAUAUGACCGUCAGCGACCAAGCGAAAGCGAAUAAGUAAUUCCACCUGGGGAGUUACGCCGGCACGGUUGAACUUCAAGGAAUUGAGGCUUGAGACGNGCGAGGACGACGACGAGGAGAG